ensembl:lncRNA
AUCCAAUUAUAUACAUAACAUUUCAUGUCUUGAAGGAUUUAUAAUUCUGUUUUGCUGCAGUAUGAAAGCAUCUUUGUGGGUGGUCUUUUGAGCAGAGCUCUGUUUAAGAUCUGUGACAGAAAACGGCCGUGAGCAGCUUCGGUGACCCUGACGGCUAGCAAGUGUUUUUGAUGCUGUUAUAAAUUCCACUCUUGUAAACUUCAUAGAGCACUUAACCGUGAGAGGAAAAUGGGGAGAAUAACUUCACAAACUGAGAAUAUGAGGCUUUAAUAUCCCUAGCACACAGAUUUUGUGUUGUUAGGUCUAUAGGAACUAGAAGACACUGGUCAUUAGAAACAAAUGCUUGAUCAGGAAAACAAAAUGUGUGAAAAAGCUGUGGACUCCUCACAUUUAUUAGAUUUCAUUUGCUGACAGCAAUUUUGUUGAUGAUAAGAAUUGUUGAAAAUGAGUAACAUUAAAAUGGUUUUGUUUGUAAAGUGGCGUGCAUUGUGAACCAAAUAAUGUAAAAAAAAAAAAACAAAAAAAAAAACAUGCUCAAACAUGGAUUUGAAACAUAAAGAAAAAAAUUGCUGCAGAAGGAAAAAAUGGCAAAUUUAACUUUACAAAACUAAUCUGUCUCACCUCAGCUCCUGUCCAACAAUCUCUGAGGGAACUGCAGAGGGAGAGACAAUCAGGAACAGAGAAUUAAGCAGAAAAAUCUAAAGCAGCAAAUAAUUGCAUAGAACCACAAUCAAUAAAUCACAAAUAUAUACAGACCCCGGGAGGCCAUAUGCAGUAACACUCAUGACUGCAUUACCAAGAAACACACACAUGUGCAGUACAUAUACCAUACAUGCAUAUACACAAACACACACACACUUGAGUCAAUGAUAUAUAGAAGCAUCCAUGAUAAAGACAAAAUCUUAUUUAAAACAAGGGUAAAAGAAAUGUACUGUCUGUAUCUAUGUUUGUAUUUAUUUUUAAGAAAAGCUUUAUUGUAAUGACACUAAAAAUGUUGUGGUGUAACCAUCAAGUGAAAGGAAAAUAUUAGUAAAAAUAUUGUCCAUAUAACAUAUGACUUCAUAUAUACACACACACACACACACACACAAACAUNUU